UACGUAGGGUGCAAGCGUUAUCCGGAUUUACUGGGCGUAAAGGGUUCGUAGGCGGAAAUAUAGGUGACGGGUUAAAUCCCACGGCUCAACUGUGGACCUGCUCGUCAAACCAUAUUUCUAGAAUUUGUUCGGGGAGGUUGGAAUUCUCGGUGGAGGGGUGAAAUCCGUUGAUAUCGAGAGGAACGCCAAGGGCGAAGGCAGGCCUCUAGGACAUAAUUGACGCUAAGGGACGAAAGCUAGGGUAGCAAACGGG
rnacentral:misc_RNA from 1 species